rnacentral:lncRNA from 1 species
AGUGGAUGGAUGGACAGGCAGACAGAUGCAUGCAGACGAAUAUUUAGAUACAUAAGAAGGUAGAUGGGUCAGUAUUGAUGGAUGACUAAUGGGAUGAGAGGUAGCUGACGUUCCGCACAUAUUUUCUGGCAAAAUGGAUGCAUGGACUGAUGGGAAAGAAUGGAAGCUAGGACUAAGGGAGGAGAGCCUCGCUGGCGCGCCUGCUAGGCGAGUCACCUCGGCUCUGCGCUCUCGGCCGCCUCCAAGGCCUCCAAGUCACCUUUAAUCAUGAAAACCCAGGAGCCGGGAAGCUAGGACGCGGGCUUGAUCCUCCCACACCUGCGAGCUAUGGAUCUUCUGGAGUACACGAAAGGAGAUAUCGCUGGGUCCUCAGACUGUUGACGCGUCCUUCCAAGGAACUGAUAAGCCCAGGCCCCUAGGACGGGAUGCUAGGACUCCAGUGUGGGGCCUUGCUGUGAACCCCUUCCCAAGUGUUUGCUUCCCUGAUGGGCCUUUGCCAAAAGGCCCUCUUGACACCGAAAAGGAUGACGACUCAGGUUCUGCGGCAGCCAAUGCCCCUCCCCCAACUCUCUGCACUCACUGGUGGGGGCCACGGUC